rnacentral:rRNA from 1 species
UAGGAAUUGGAAUAAGGGGUAGUAAGAGGAGCUCUUAAAACCUAAAAUUUUUGGCGGUUUUUUAGUCUGAUUAGAGGAAUCUGUUCUGUGAUAGAUGUUCCGCUUUAAUUUUAACUUUGGGGUUAAGUUUAUAUAUCGCCGUCGGAAAGUGAAUUUUUUAGAUUUCAUUUAGGAACCUAUUGAGAUUAAUUCUUGGUGAGGGAAGAUGUCAGGUCAAGGUGUAGCUAGUACUAGAGGGUGAGAUGGAUUACAGUCUUAAAUUAGGGUGGAUAGUGAUAAGAAAUUGUCAUUUGAAAGUGGAUUUAUGAGUAAUUUUUUAAUUAAAAUUGGUAUAUGAAUGUAGCUCUAAAGAAUGU